AUGAACGCUGGCGGCGUGCCUAAUACAUGCAAGUCGAGCGAACGGACGAGAAGCUUGCUUCUCUGAUGUUAGCGGCGGACGGGUGAGUAACACGUGGAUAACCUACCUAUAAGACUGGGAUAACUUCGGGAAACCGGAGCUAAUACCGGAUAAUAUUUUGAACCGCAUGGUUCAAAAGUGAAAGACGGUCUUGCUGUCACUUAUAGAUGGAUCCGCGCUGCAUUAGCUAGUUGGUAGGGUAACGGCUUACCAAGGCAACGAUGCAUAGCCGACCUGAGAGGGUGAUCGGCCACACUGGAACUGAGACACGGUCCAGACUCCUACGGGAGGCAGCAGUAGGGAAUCUUCCGCAAUGGGCGAAAGCCUGACGGAGCAACGCCGCGUGAGUGAUGAAGGUCUUCGGAUCGUAAAACUCUGUUAUUAGGGAAGAGCAUAUGUGUAAGUAACUGUGCACAUCUUGACGGUACCUAAUCAGAAAGCCACGGCUAACUACGUG
rnacentral:rRNA from 1 species